CUGCUAGAAACCAGCGCUCCACCUUAACUUGCUGACAUAUUAGACACUACGCCACAUAGCGUCCAAUAUCCGCUUUCAUUUCCGACCACCAGUACUGCAUCUUUAGAUCCUGGUACAUCUUGGUGCCGCCCGGGAGGAUACUAUAAGGAGCUCGAUGAGCUUCUUGCAAAAUCAACUUUCGGACUUCCUCGGUUUCUGGUACACACCAUCGGUUUCGAAACCAGAGCGCACCCUCGGCGUCCAUACUGAAAUCGCCGCCACGUCCACCCUCGAUGUCUCGC
rnacentral:lncRNA from 1 species